UUUGAUUAUGGCUCAGAUUGAACGCUGGCGGGAUGCUUUAUACAUGCAAGUCGAACGGCAGCACGGACUUCGGUCUGGUGGCGAGUGGCGAACGGUGAGUAAUGUAUCGGAACGUGCCUAGUAGUGGGGAUAACUACGCGAAAGCGUAGCUAAUACCGUAUACGCCCUUCGGGGGAAAGCGGGGGACCUUCGGGCCUCGCACUCAGAGCGGCCGAUAUCGGAUUAGCUAGUUGGUGGGGUAACGGCUCACCAAGGCGACGAUCCGUAGCUGGUUUGAGAGGACGACCAGCCACACUGGGACUGAGACACGGGCCCAGACUCCUACGGGAGGCAGCAGGGGGAAUUCUGGGACAAUGGGGAAAACCGAUCCAGCCAUCCCGCGUGUGCGAUGAAGGCCUUCGGGUUGUAAAGCACUUUUGGCAGGAAAAGAAACGGCACGGGAUAAUACCCCGUGCAACUGACGGUACCUGCAGAAUAAGCACCGGCUAACUACGUGCCAGCAGCCGCGGUAAUACGUAGGGUGCAAGCGUUAAUCGAAAUUACUGGGCGUAAAGCGUGCGCAGGCGGUUCGGAAAGAAAGAUGUGAAAUCCCAGAGCUUAACUUUGGAACUGCAUUUUUACAAUUCACCGGGAGCUAGGAGUGUGUCAGAGGGAGGUGGAAUUCCGCGUGUAGCAGUGAAAUGCGUAGAUAUGCGGAGGAACACCCUGAUGGCGAAGGCAGCCCUGGAUAACACUGACGCUCAUGCACGAAAGCGUGGGGAGCAAACAGAUUAGAUACCCUGGUAGUCCACGCCCUAAACGAUGUCAACUAGCUGUUGGGGCCUUCUGGGCCUUGUGCGCAGUUGACGCAGGAAGUUGACCGCCUGGGGAGUACGGUCGCAAGAUUAAAACUCAAAGGAAUUGACGGGGACUCCCGCACAAGCGGUGGAUGAUGUGGAUUAAUUGAUGCAAACGCCAGGCGAAAACCUUACCUACCCUUGACAUGUCUGAAUCCCGAAGAGAUUUGGGAGUGCUCGCAAGAGAACCGGAACACAGGUGCUGCAUGGCUGUCGUCAGCUCGUGUCGAGAUGUUGGGUUAAGUCCCGCAACGAGCGCAACCCCUUGUCAUUAGUUGCUACGAAAGGGUACUCUACCUGAGAUUGCCGGUGACAAACCGGAGGAAGGUGAUGACGUCAAGUCCUCAUGGCCCUUAUGUAGGGCUUCACACGCUGGCAUAAUGUCGGGACAGAGGGUCGCCAACCCGCGAGGGGAGCCAAUCCCAGAAACCCGAUCGUAGUCCGGAUCGCAGUCUGCAACUCGACUGCGUGGUCGGAAUCGCCAGUAAUCGCGGAUCAAGGCAUAAAGUGUCGCGGUGAAUACGUUCCCGGUCUUGUACACACCGCCCGUCACACCAUGGGAGUGGGUUUUACCAGAAGUAGUUAGCCCAACUGUAUGAGGGCGAUUACCACGGUAGGAUUCAUGACUGGGGUGAAGUCGUAACAAGGUAA
rnacentral:rRNA from 1 species